UUUUAUAGGGGUCCAGGUGGUGGUAGACCUUGGCCAAACCCAACAAAUGCCAAUUCAGUGAGUAUAUAUAUAUAUAUGCAUUCAUACAUUCAUACAUACAUACAUACAUACAUAUACACCUUCUAAAUUUUUUACACUUGUGCUUUGUAACAUUUAACAAAAACAAAAAUAUGCUGUUUAUGAAAGCUUUGCAAUCCAUCCUAUGAAUAAUCAUUCAAAAAGGUUUUGUGUAUGUUUUUUAGAAAAAUACCCAAUUUUAAAAUUAUGUAAUUUUUUCAUUUCAAGAGCUAAUUAAAAAUGGUGUGAUUUAAAUAUACUUCAAUAUCUUAUAUAGUAGUUUAUAUUAGUCAUAAAAUGGUUUGAUCCUCUGUAAUAGCUAUAAUAAUCAACUAAGUUGUCAGAUAUGAUCAAUCUCAAUUAGAGGAAACCAAAUUAUUAUGAUUGUACUUGUAUUAAUUACACAUAGGUUUUCUGUCUUGCUGCCUCAGAAAACAAGUACACAUUUUCCUUGUGCUUGUUAGCUAAAUUGCCAUUCUCUCACAUUUAUGUACCUAACAUUCUAGGAAUUUUCCUUUUAUUAUUGCGGCAGUGAUUGACUAUGGAUGUUUUUCUUUCUUAGUAAUGUGCAUAAAUAUAUGAAUAGGUUGAAAACUAAGCUAUCAAACACAAAAUUAAUAUGAUUUUAAUUUCAUGAUCCUGGUGAUGUUUUUUCUCCUUGUCUUUAAAAUCUUGAGUUCUUCAAUAUGUAAGAAAGGCUGCUGUGUGAAUUUGUACAGUGUGUGCACAGUACACAGGCUCUUAAGUCAAAAGAGUCAGUGGGGACUUGGCCUCUAUUCCACUUGACAAGUCUAUGAACCCAGCUACCCAGAAGGGAUGGCUUCAUUCUCUAGCAGUGGCCUUAAUGCUAAAUAAACAUGAAACUUAUCUAAUGUAUAAUGUUUAUUAAAACUUGAAGUUAAAAAUGAAGUGUGUUUAAUAACAGAAAAAUCAUUGUAAGUCUGUUGCUAUUCUAAAGCAAAAGUCACUUCCUUCUCAGGUAAAUAACUAUCAUAUAAAGAGAAAAGUUAUUAAUUUAUAUUACCCAGUUUUCUUAGUUUUAAUAUCUAUGGUGUUUACUAAUUAAAUGAAGUUAUUUGAGGUAGAAAAUAUGAUGUUGCUUCUUUUUGGGUCUUCAAUGAACUAUUCAAUAAAUCUUGAUACCCUUUUGUCAGAUUGUUGAAAUGUGAAUAACUUCACUGCUCCAAAAUUCUUUCAGUUUGCUUAUGUGCUGUAGAGGAGUUUAUGUUUUUGUUUGCUUCUUGCUAUCUGCCUUAACUAAUUAAUUCAAGAUUUCACUUUAAAAUGGCAUCUGGCUUGCCGCUCAAAAUACACUUCUUGCAACUUCCUAUUGAAAUGCCCAUAAGGAUGCUAAAAAAAAAAAAAAUUCAUAAUGAAAAAACUGACAAUCUUCCUAGUGUCAGAAUCUGAAAUGAAUUUAUAUUAUUUGCAUGUUUAAUGAGGCCAGAUUUUAAAACACAACCACAUCCCACCUUAACUAAGUGGGUAAGCCUUUCCACCUAGAAGCAAGAAGACCCUUCCCUCCUUUCUCACUCUUAGUUCAGCAAACCAUCCCAACUGCUCAUUGCAAGCAGCCAGAGGACAGGUCAAACUAUCCAUCUUCUUCACUCCCAAUUUUUCUAUAUACUUGUCCAGAGAUUAUAUCUCCUACAAACCACUGAUGGGCAGCAUUUAGGGAGUUGAUAUUGAGGACGGUGUGUUGUGCUUAGCGGGAGUAUAUUAUCUAAGUGAAGAGGAUUAGAUAGAGGCAAAGAAAAGAAGAGAUCACUGCAUUCUGAUGAUUCUUAGAGACCCCAUCUCUUAGCAUUUCUUAGAGCUGAGCACUAGGGGUAGGAGAAUGACUAUAUCAGAUCAUUAUUUCUGCAUUAUUUUAGACCCUGUUUAGAACUAAGAACUUUUGCAGGAGGUGCACAUCAUACUGAUGUCCAGUGAUCAAUCGGAAAUGGGUAUUUGACCAGCACAAAUGUAGGCAAGUAAGAAGCCUGAAAGCAGUCCCCUUGGUUAAUAAACACCACAUGUGGAAGCAUCUGUUCUCAUUCUAAGUAUGCAAAUGGGAAAGAAGUGGGAGGAGGGCAGGUUUUCUCUCCUGAAGAGAAAUGGUCAUCAUCUUGAGCAGGAAAAAGAAAAACAUUCUCCGGAAAAUGAUUUCUUACGAGAACAAGAAAGAAAUUAUAGAGAACUGGUAACUUUGUAGUAGAAACAUAGGGAUUCUAUGAAACAGAAGUAAAAGGUAUAAAAGGUGAACUUUUUUUACCCAAAUUAUAUUUUUAGUGACAACUCAUCUAUAUUAUUUUGAAUACAAACUUCCUUACAUUUCCUGUAUUUAUUUAAUAUUACAAUUAGUUUAUUUUAAUUCCGUAAGUCUGUGACUCCUUAGGGAAGCACCCUAAAGUAUUGUUUUUAUUUUUGCUGUUUUCAAAUAUGCUUUGCUGACUGUUUUUUCACUAUUUUGAAGUAACUGCACACUUACAGAAAGCUUACAAGAAUAGUACUAAGAAUUGCCAUGUACCUUUCACCCAAAUUGCCCAAUGUUAAUGUUUUUCCACAUUUGCUUUAUGAUUUCCUCUCUAUACAUAAACAUAUUUUUCCUGAAUCAUUUGUUUCCUGAAACUUUAUCCCUAAGUACUUCAGUGUGCUUUCCCUAAAACCAAAUAUACUUCUUAACUCCAAAAUAAUGAUCAAAAUAAGAGCAUUAACAUUGACUUAAUGCUACUUUUUAAUCUACAGGUCUUAUUUAGAUUUCUCUAAUUGUCCUAAUAAUAUCUUAAAUAACAGAAGAAAACCUGGUUCUCUUUUGCAGUUAUAUAUCAUGUCUUAUCUCUUUUCAUCUAGAACAGUUCCUUAGCUUUUCUUUGUCUUUCUCAUUCUUGCACUUGUGUUAAAUGGAAGCCAGUUAUUAUUUAGAGCAUCUCACAAUUUUGUUUUAUUUGAUAUUUCCUCAUGAGUAGACUUGGGUGUUCAUAUGUUUAGUAAGAAUACCCCAGGAAUUUUUUGGUUUUCUCAGUAUGUCAUUUUAGGAGGCAUAUAUGGUUACUUGUACCAUUACUAUUAAUGUUAAUUUUGAUCAUUUGGUUAAGGUGUUUCUUAUCAGAAUUCUAUAAAUGGAAAUUAUUAUUUUUCCUUUUGUAACUUUAACUUGGAUACAGAACUUUGAAGCUAUAGUAAAUAUGCCCUUCCUCCUUAUACAUUCAUCAGCUAUUUUUGGCAUUCAUUGAUGAUUCUUAUUUGAAUUUCUUACUUUGUUGGUUGCCAUAUGGAUAUCUUUUAAUUCUGUCUUUCCUUUUCCAUAUAUUACAUGUCUUUCUACUAGAACAAGAAGGCUAUUCUUUCUUUCCCAUUCAUGUUCAUUUAUGCUCAUAUAUACUGAUGGAUUAUAUAUUCAGUGGGUUUAGCUUGUGAAAAUUGUCCUAAAUUUGGCCAGUGGGAAUCUCUUCAAGCUGGAUCAUUUCUACUUUUAGAGAUUUCUUUUGUAGUACUGAGCUUCAAACCCAGGGUCUCACACAUGCUAGGCAGACACUCUACUACUGAGCUAUAUCUCUAGCCUCAUUUCUGCUUUUAAAAUGGCCCAUUAUUGUUUGAGCACUCAGAAGCUUAUCUCAUAUUUCCCCAGCCAUUUCUUUAAUGAGUCCUGGGUCUUUUCAGUGGAAAGUGGUAUUUAAAGCUCAUUAGAGUAAUAUAGCUUCUAUGCCUCCAACCAGCAGAACUAGAAGAUAGAUGUCUCUGUGUCUACAUAUCACAUGUAUCUAUAUCUCUCUUUAUCUCUAUAUAUCAACAACACAAGUGCAGCUAAGGCUUCAAUUUUUCAAUCCAUUACUACAGAAUUCAUUCUAGCCUUUCUGCUUUCCAUGGUUAUAACCAACUUCUCUGAAAGUGUGAAACCUGCCUACCAUUAUCCAUGAUAUAUGUAUCUAUUCAUAAUCUUUGUCUACAAUUUCAUCCUAUAAAAGUAUUUUGAUCAAAAAUAUUUUAUGGCACUCAUACAUGACGGUAGGAGAAACAUUUUUAAGGGCAAAUUCUUGUUUUUAAUUCAGAAUGAAAAUAUGAUUUUCGUUUUGAACUUCUUUGACCCUAAGCAUUAUAGUUUUGACCUCAGAUUCUUGUUUGGAAUGUUGUUUAUAAUCUACCAAUUCUAGUUUUUCCUUAUUUAUCUUUUUCACAAAGAACUGUAUGCUUUGGCUUGGAUGCAUAAUAAGGUUGGAUCACUUAACUAGCAAGCUUUUUUUUUAAAGAUGAACUAUUUGGGGUCACAAUAUAUAAAGACCAACCAAACUAGAUUCAUACCGAAGGAAAAUAUUACUACAUCAUGUAUCUGAAAAGUUCAGAUUUAAAUUUGACUUUGGGCAUAUUUGGUUCCAAGAAUUCAAAGAACCUCAUCAGGACCUAGUCACUUAGUUUCUUGCCUUUGUUUCCCUUUUCACAGCAAGGAGGCUGGGUAAAGUUUCAGAUUCAUAUCCUCACAGCUUCCAGUUCAGGGCAAAAGAAAACAACUCCUUAUCGGUUUAACAAAGAAACUGAAAAUAACUGAACUGAACUUGCUUAGCUGAGGUCAUAUGUUUAUUCAUAAAAAAGUUAUAGACAGGGAUAUAAUAUUUUUUCUGCUGUGUCUAGGUCACAUGCCUAUUCCCUAAGCCUGACUCAAACUGUGUAGAGAAAACUCUGGGGUUACCAAGGAAAAUUAAAGGAAUUUUUAGCAGAAGAGGAAGAGAGGACAGGCAAAAAAAAAAAUUUAAAAACUGUUCAGUACAAUUUUAUACGUAUCAACUCACUAGCUUUCCAGGAAAAAGAGAAAGGAAAAAAGUGAGGACCUAUUAUAGUAAUUAAAACAAAAGAAAAUAAAAAUAUAUUAUUUCAAAUAGGCGCUGCUUUAUACCAAUAGAAGCUCAUUAUUUGAAAAGAGCACUAAAAAUAUUUUUAACUUUUCCACCAGUUCUGAUGUCUUGAUGUUGCCCUCCCUAAUUUCUAGUUAACCAGUGCUAUAAGGUAAGCUAUCUGAAAAGUACUUUAUCUGUAAAGAAAGGUACUUAAAAUGUUACUGAUAAUUUUAAAAACAAACAAAAAGAAGCCCUCUAGUUAAUUCUCUGGCCCCUACCACUACACCACAAUCGUGGGUAUUAGGAUUCAGAAUAUUUUACAAAUUUGCAUUCUUAUCAGAACUCUUGAAUUAUCUAACUUAGGCAAUUUUCUGAGCCCUUAAUUUUCUCAUCUGUCAAAUAACGGAUUCUUAUUCUGUGAUUCUGACCUUCCAGUUCUGUGAUUUUGUCUGUCUUCUACAUAUUCAUUUUUAUCCUUUGUUUUUAUCUUAGUGGACAUUUUGUAUGAAGCAUAGGGUAGUACCAGAGGGAGGAUUUAGGGAUAAAGAGAAUGAGAAAGUUAAAAGUGUUUUUAAGUCUUUGAAUCCAGGCAAUAGUAAUAACACAACUGAGUUAGGAAUGUAGGAAAAAAGAUUUAGAGGGUAGAUAACAAGGUUUUGUUUUUGCUUUCUGGAAUUUUUUAAAAUGUUAUAUUUGAAGUAUUUAUAGAACUGCUUCUUUAGUUCUUCCAUCAUGUUUAAUAGGUAAUUCUAUAAUUAUACCUAACACAUUACAGUAUAUUUUAAAUCUGUAAUGCUGAACCUCAGCUGAGUCCUCACUGAUGCUUGAACUACUCUUCUUCCUUAGUCAGCUACUUCUGCUUUCCUCAAAGACUGGUACAGUAGUUUAUUAUUCUCUUUGGGUCCCCUGCAUUAUCUUGGCCCCUUCCCUGUCAAUUAAAAUUGUCUCAUAUUUUACAGAGGAAAGAAAAAAAUAAAGACCAUUAGACUCAAAUUUCUUCAGAUUCUAAGUUUCACCAGCAAUAUCAUUACACCUUUAGUCAUAUUUCUUUGUUCUUAUCUUGGAAAUAGAAAUGUUCUUUCUUUUCAAUACUCAUCCGUCUGUCUAUUCUCUUUAUUCUACCUCUUGUUACUUUUUUGCAUAUGCUGCCCAUUCCCUCCUCCAAAAGAAUUUUUCUUUGGCCUAUCCAUUUCCUUUGACUGGAAUUUUCUUGGAAUGUAAUACCAGUAAGCAAAAUCUUUACACAAGCUUAAACCUCUUGUCCUCUUCUCCUGUGGAAUUGGCAGGAGAUAGCUGAUAGAAAGGUCCUGUCAGCCCUUUUCAGUCCCAAACAACCAUCCAUUUCUCUCACACUGUGACUCCUUUGCCACUAUCUCCUGGAGGGUGGAUUCCUAGGGUUUCCCGUCUUUGAUCAUUGCACAGUAGUGCAGGGCCUGAAACCUCACAGGAGAUAAAUUAAGGCAUAUUGAAUUGACUUCCCAACCAACUUUUCAACCCAUUUCAAAUUCUGUGAAAGUCCCAUUCUGAAGGUUACUAUUUACCAACCAAACAAGAAAGCUUUCUUUUCUGUCUUCAUCAUACCUGAUCUCUGAAAUAUUUGAUUGCUUAGUUUUGUUUUAAAUGUCUAUUCAUUUUUCAUUUGUGAUUUUAAUGUUUCUUUAUUUUUCCAUAUUGUUAUUAAAGUAUUCUUUUAUUAUUUAUUUUUAGCUAUGUCUCAGAAAGCUAAAAGGCUUAAGCUUCACCCAGCAAUUUAGAUAUUUUCUAGUCAACCUGCACCUACUUGCUGCUUCUUAAAAGUCUAACUUGCUUGAUUUUUUAAAUAUUUUCUUCCAAUUUUUAUCACAUCACAUUUGCUGCCUUUUCUCAAUUG
rnacentral:lncRNA from 1 species